GGUGGCGUCGCCACGUGGUCAGGCAACGGUUUGCAGAACCGUCAUACGCAGGUUCGAAUCUCGCCGCCACCUCCA
rnacentral:tRNA from 1 species